rnacentral:rRNA from 1 species
AUUGAACGCUGGCGGCAGGCCUAACACAUGCAAGUCGAACGAGUAGCGGACGGGUGGGUAAUUGCUGGGAAACUGCCUGAUGGAGGGGGAUAACUACUGGAAAUGGUAGCUAAUAACGCAUGCCAUAGGAGGUGCACACUUGGGAUUAGCUAGUGGGUGGGGUAAAGGCUCACCUAGGCGACGAUGCCUAGCUGGUCUGAGAGGAUGACCAGCCACACUGGAACUGAGACACGGUCCAGACUCCUACGGGAGGCAGCAGUGGGGAAUAUUGCACAAUGGGCGCAAGCCUGAUGCAGCCAUGCCGCGUGUAUGAAGAAGGCCUUCGGGUUGUAAAGUACUUUCAGCGGGGAGGCGUUACCCGCAGAAGAAGCACCGGCUAACUCCGUGCCAGCAGCCGCGGUAAUAC